CUUGCGACAGCGUUCUUCUGUCAGCGUCAGGCAAAUGAGGCCACGGCCAUGCGUCGCCAUGAAAUUUAUCGCUGCCGGCGUAACAAAAUCCGCCGCCAGAACCA
rnacentral:antisense_RNA from 1 species